rnacentral:rRNA from 1 species
GGGGUAUAUGUCUUCGGAUAUAGAGACCGGCGCACGGGUGCGUAACGCGUAUGCAAUCUACCUUUCACAGAGGGAUAGCCCAGAGAAAUUUGGAUUAAUACCUCAUAGUAUUACGACUCGGCAUCGAGAUGUAAUUAAAGUCACAACGGUGAAAGAUGAGCAUGCGUCCCAUUAGCUAGUUGGUAAGGUAACGGCUUACCAAGGCAACGAUGGGUAGGGGUCCUGAGAGGGAGAUCCCCCACACUGGUACUGAGACACGGACCAGACUCCUACGGGAGGCAGCAGUGAGGAAUAUUGGUCAAUGGACGCAAGUCUGAACCAGCCAUGCCGCGUGCAGGAUGACGGUCCUAUGGAUUGUAAACUGCUUUUGUACGAGAAGAAACAACAUUACGUGUAAUGUCUUGACGGUAUCGUAAGAAUAAGGAUCGGCUAACUCCGUGCCAGCAGCCGCGGUAAUACGGAGGAUCCAAGCGUUAUCCGGAAUCAUUGGGUUUAAGGGGUCCGUAGGCGGUUUAGUAAGUCAGUGGUGAAAGCCCAUCGCUCAACGGUGGAA